GGAGGCUCCAGCACCACAGAGAAGCCUUAUCCUGACCCAGAGGGAAGGUUGUGACACUGCUCUCUGGGUGAAAGGUCAUGACACGGUCCUUCCUGUCAUCAGCCUGUUUAAAAUGACAAGCCUGGAGUCUGUAGGAUCUGUAGUGAUGCUUCUAUUUCAUUCCUGGUGUGGUUCACUGUACCCUGGAAUGGCUGUGCACUCCGCAAACACUCAAGAAGAUUGUAUGCAGAUGUCUGCAGCUCCUUUUCUGGAAAGCUCCCUCCCAUCUGGAACUCUGCCCUGUGACUUCAUGUGGCCCCAGCCUCCCUGAACUCUGACCGCUCUCUCUUCAACUCAUGAGGCCACUGGACUCUGUUUCUGUUGCCUCUCCCGUGUCAAGGGUUUAAAAAAUGCCUGUAGGCAGGAAGCUGGGCAAUCAUAAGACUUCUCUCUUUUGUUUUUCUAUUAUUAGGGAUCGCAGCACUGUGCUAUUUAUUGUCCAGUGUCUGGGAACAGUUGUCUAAUCUACUUUGUGCCAUUUUCAAAUUGUUUGCAGUGAAAGGGGAAGUCUGGGCCUUCUUUUCCUUCAUGGUCAGAGGUAGAAGUCCUUAUUUUUUUUUUUUUAACUUCCUUUAUUUCAAUCAUUAUUUCCCCCUUGUCGUUUAUAUGUUUAUAGUUGUGCUUCUCCCUUUUUCUCUU